rnacentral:rRNA from 1 species
UCAAGUGACUAAGUGCAUGCGGCGGAUGCCUUGGCGAUCACAGGCGAAGAAAGACGCGGCAGCCUGCGAAAAGCUGCGGGGAGCUGGCAAACGAGCUUUGAUCCGCAGAUAUCUGAAUGGGGGAACCCACACCGUAAGGUGUAUCCGUAGCUGAAUACAUAGGUUACGGAGGCGAACGAGGAGAACUGAAACAUCUAAGUAUCCUCAGGAAAAGAAAUCAACCGAGAUUCCGGCAGUAGCGGCGAGCGAACCCGGAGGAGCCUAGCUUUUGAUAGUACGAACUUUAGCCGAAAGGUCCUGGAAAGGCCUGCUAUAGUGGGUGAUAGCCCCGUAGGCGAAAGAGUUGGUACGGUACUAAGGAAGCGAGAAGUAGAGCGGGACACGUGGAAUCCUGUUCGAAGACGGGGGGACCAUCCUCCAAGGCUAAAUACUCGUGAUCGACCGAUAGUGAACCAGUACCGUGAGGGAAAGGCGAAAAGAACCCCGGGAGGGGAGUGAAAUAGAACCUGAAACCGCAUGCAUACAAACAGUAGGAGCCUCGUCAGAGGUGACUGCGUACCUUUUGCAUAAUGGGUCAGCGACUUACAUUCUGUGGCGAGCUUAACCGAAUAGGGGAGGCGCAGCGAAAGCGAGUUCGAAAUGAGCGUCCAGUCGCAGGGUGUAGACCCGAAACCAGAUGAGCUAUCCAUGGCCAGGUUGAAGGUGUGGUAACACACACUGGAGGACCGAACCGACUAGUGUUGCAAAAUUAGCGGAUGAGCUGUGGAUAGGGGUGAAAGGCCAAACAAAUCUGGAGAUAGCUGGUUCUCCCCGAAAACUAUUGAGGUAGUGCCUCGUGUGUCGCUCCAGGGGGUAGAGCACUGUUUUGGCUAGGGGGACAUGGAGUCUUACCAAACCAAGGCAAACUCCGAAUACCUGGAAGCGUGAGCACGGGAGACAGAGCACCGGGUGCUAACGUCCGGACUCAAAAGGGAAACAACCCAGACCGCCGGCUAAGGUCCCCAAUAACAGCUAAGUGGAAAACGAAGUGGAAAGGCCGUGACAACCAGGAAGUUGGCUUAGAAGCAGCCAUCCUUCAAAGAAAGCGUAAUAGCUCACUGGUCGAGUCCUUCUGCGCGGAAGAUGUAACGGGGCUAAGCUGUUAACCGAAGCCGCGGAUGCACUGGUAAUCCAGUGCGUGGUAGGGGAGCGGCGGUUCGAGAGGACUGCUGGAGAUAUCAGAAGUGCGAAUGCUGACAUGAGUAACGUUAAAGCAGGUGAAAAGCCUGCUCGCCGUAAGCCCAAGGAUUCCUGCUCUACGUUCAUCGGAGCAGGGUGAGUCGGCUCCUAAGGUCAGGCCGAAAGGCGUAGCCGAUGGGAAUCAGGUUAAUAUUCCUGAACCUGCGUCAGAUGCGAUGGGGGGACGGAGCAUGGAAGAUCAUCCGGGUGUUGGAAGUCCCGGUUGACGAGCGUAGGAGGUCUGCAGGCAAAUCCGCAGACGAUUCUCCAAGGCAAAGACACGUGCCGCCACGGCGGCGAAGUGAUCGGAAGUGCUUCCAAGAAAAGCCUCUAAGCCCCAGUCUGACGCGGACCGUACCGCAAACCGACACUGGUGGGCGAGCUGAAUAUGCUCAGGCGCUUGAGAGAACUCGGGAGAAGGAACUCGGCAAAUUGACCCCGUAACUUCGGAAGAAGGUGUGCCGUAGUACCGUGAGAGGAGAGACACCUUGAGCGGGAAACGGUCUCAGAGAAUAGGUGGCUGCGACUGUUUAUUAAAAACACAGCACUCUGCAAAGUCGAAAGACGACGUAUAGGGUGUGAUGCCUGCCCGGUGCUGGAAGAUUAAUUGAUGGGGUGAGAGCCCUUGAUCGAAGUCCCAGUAAACGGCGGCCGUAACUAUAACGGUCCUAAGGUAGCGAAAUUCCUUGUC